rnacentral:tRNA from 1 species
AUAACCCCACAUACUCUUGUAGCUCAACCCCUAAAGCGCUGGC